AACAUUACAGGAAGCUGUAAGGAGCCUCCAUUAUUCGAAAAACAACCCACAUAAAUGCGAUUCACAAACUGGAAUAAGUUUACUUCAUGACCAGGCAGUGAUGACAUAUCUGCUGGAGGAAUUAAAAAUAACUUUUGCAAAUGCAGACCCUGAGUGUAUAAAGGAGGAAAUACUUUUUGCUCGGCCAUGAAAGUCUCAGCUAAGAGACUCCAUUAAGACAGGGGCUAAAAAACGACAAAGAUAAUUGCUGGAGUCCAGGUGUAGACUCGUUUAAACAGAUGCAGAGAGAGAACUGUGGCAGACUGCAAUACUGGAACUAAUAUCCGAU